ACAAGUACUAUUUUUGAUAAAAUGCUUUGCCGUCUUCUAAUUAAAGUUUUCCCCUUUGUUUUACUCUUUUCCGACUACAUUAUGCUUCAAAUACACACACACUAGAGGCAAUGAAGGACACGUCGUAAAAAAAAGACCUAGUUAUUGUAGAAAACCCGCGUAUAACAAUAUCAUGCACCUCAUUAAAUUACUAAGCCGGCCUCAAAGGUAAUGUAAAAGACUAAGCACACUUGUUGAUCUCAAUCUCAAAUUCACUCUCAUAUAUAAGUAGAAAUAUAAGUAGUUAACUUGUAGUACUCUUCGAAGAUAGUGAACUAUUAUUUUAUUUGAUUUAAUGCUUCGCCUUCUUUGAAGAUUUGCCCUUGCAAGGCCAAAAAAAAAAAAAGCACUUACCAAGUUCACAUCUACUUUUAUUGACACACCUAUUUCCUUUUAUAUACGUCCUUCCUCUGUUUUCAUGGAUACAUUUUUCCCUUAUCUAAUUACUUAAGGCUCUUCUAACAAUCGGAAACUUACUGUUGCAUUGAACUUGCUAUUUCACAGGAUUCUUCCAAAGGAUAAGCAAUAUCGAUCACGCAUAACAACUUCCUCAAAAUAAUUGUCCAGAAUUUUGACGUACAAACAUGCGGAUUCAAUAUCUGGAAAAAAAAAAAAGAAAAGGAACAACUGAGAACCGAAAUUUAUAUUGGAGUUUUGCUAGAUUCAUCAUGCAAAGAAUGGCUGCGCAUAUAUUGGUUUAUGUAUAGAUAUUGUGUUUUCACAUGUAUGAUUUUUGAAUUACAUUUUGACAUAUAAAAAAUUAUUAAUGUCAUCUUCUUUCUAAUCUUAUUACAGUGGUUAA